UACGUAGGUGGCGAGCGUUGUCCGGAAUUAUUGGGCGUAAAGAGCAUGUAGGCGGUUUUUUAAGUCUGGAGUGAAAAUGCGGGGCUCAACCCCGUAUGGCUCUGGAUACUGGAAGACUUGAGUGCAGGAGAGGAAAGGGGAAUUCCCAGUGUAGCGGUGAAAUGCGUAGAUAUUGGGAGGAACACCAGUGGCGAAGGCGCCUUUCUGGACUGUGUCUGACGCUGAGAUGCGAAAGCCAGGGUAGCGAACG
rnacentral:rRNA from 1 species